UACGGAGGAUGCGAGCGUUAUCCGGAUUUAUUGGGUUUAAAGGGUGCGUAGGUGGUCUAUUAAGUCAGUGGUGAAAGUUUGUCGCUCAACGAUAAAAUUGCCAUUGAAACUGGUGGACUUGAGUAUGUUUGAGGUAGGCGGAAUGCGUAGUGUAGCGGUGAAAUGCUUAGAUAUUACGCAGAACUCCGAUUGCGAAGGCAGCUUACUAAACCAUAACUGACACUGAAGCACGAAAGCGUGGGUAUCAAACAGG
rnacentral:rRNA from 1 species